rnacentral:rRNA from 1 species
GCAAGUCGAACGCACCUUCGGGUGAGUGGCGCACGGGUGAGUAUAACAUGGGAACGUACCUUUCAGUACGGAAUAGCCUUGGGAAACUGGGAAUAAUACCGUAUACGCUCUUCGGAGGAAAGAUUUAUCGCUGAAAGAUCGGCCCAUGCCGGAUUAGUUUGUUGGUGAGGUAACGGCUCACCAAGACUACGAUCUGUAGCUGGUUUGAGAGGAUGAUU